rnacentral:rRNA from 1 species
AGGGUGUAAACGCUGCAGACUUGGUGUUGGAGGCCCUUUGGGGGCAUUCAGUGCCGGAGAGAAGUUGUUAAGUCUGCUACUUGGGGAGUACGUCCGCAAGGAUGAAACUUAAAGGAAUUGGCGGGGGAGCACCGCAACGGGAGGAGCGUGCGGUUUAAUUGGAUUCAACACCGUAAACUCACCAGGGAAGACUGUUACAUGAAGGCCGAGAUGAAGACUCUGCUAGAUUUUCAGAGAGGUGGUGCAUGGCGUCAGUGACU